AUUGAACGCUGGCGGAAUGCUUUACACAUGCAAGUCGAACGGCAGCACGGGGGCAGCCCUGGUGGCGAGUGGCGAACGGGUGAGUAAUACAUCGGAACGUGCCCGGUCGUGGGGGAUAACGUAGCGAAAGUUACGCUAAUACCGCAUACGAUCUGAGGAUGAAAGCGGGGGACCUUCGGGCCUCGCGCGAUCGGAGCGGCCGAUGUCGGAUUAGGUAGUUGGUGGGGUAAAGGCCUACCAAGCCGACGAUCUGUAGCUGGUCUGAGAGGACGACCAGCCACACUGGGACUGAGACACGGCCCAGACUCCUACGGGAGGCAGCAGUGGGGAAUUUUGGACAAUGGGCGCAAGCCUGAUCCAGCCAUUCCGCGUGCAGGACGAAGGCCUUCGGGUUGUAAACUGCUUUUGUACGGAACGAAAAGGCUCUGGCUAAUACCUGGGGCUCAUGACGGUACCGUAAGAAUAAGCACCGGCUAACUACGUG
rnacentral:rRNA from 1 species